AAAGUUACACAAGAAGAAUUGGCCCUUGACCAGCCUGAUUGGUUGCAGGAGGGGACCAAUCAGAGGUACCUCCCAUUUUUCAUCUGCAGCCCAAUGCAAAGUAAUGACAUGGAUCUGGAGAGAUUCUCUUAGGAGAGAAUCUGGCUAAGUGUCUAGCAGGAUGAUUGAUUAACAAGAUGUUUUGUUUUCAUCAUCUCAGAGAUAACUGUAUUGAGGUAUAAUUGAUAUGCCAAAUAACUGGACACAUUCAACUUGUGCAAUUUGAUGAGUUUGGAGAUACACAUACAUCUGUGAAACCAUCACCAAAAUCAAGAGAAAGUGGACUAUGAACAAUCGAAAGAAAGUGGUGGAUGGUUUCUGGAAGGACAAGUCUGCACCAGAGAAUAAAAGGGCAUUCCUUAGGGUUGCUGAGGAUUUUCUUUGAUUGUAUUCUGCUAAUGUGUGUGCAAGGCAGAUAUAACACAUUUGUGGAAGGCUCUAGAGACAUUUUCUACAAAUUUUACCCUGGUUUCAGGAAAAAGAGUCUGAUUGACAUAACUUGUCAAGUGUUCGCCCCAGCUUCUAUCAACUAUGGGGAAGGAAGGGCCAGAAGAGGUGUAACCAUCAUGGCUACCAGGUUUCGAAAUAUUUACAUUACAUACUGCAUUUAUUAAAAUACAAAUUAAAUCUGCAAUAAAAAACUAAUUGACCAUUCUCUGGGA
rnacentral:lncRNA from 1 species